rnacentral:tRNA from 1 species
GGGGGCGUGGCGAAAUUGGUAGACGCACUGGAUUUAGGUUCCAGCGCCGCAAGGUGUAAGAGUUCGAGUCUCUCGCCCCCACCA